rnacentral:tRNA from 1 species
CCCGUUGGUCAAGUGGUUAAGACACCGCCCUUUCACGGCGGUAACAUGGGUUCAAAUCCCGUACGGGUCA